rnacentral:rRNA from 1 species
CGAAAGCCGGGGUAGCAAAUGGGAUUAGAUACCCCAGUAGUCCCGGCCGUAAAACGAUGGAUACUAGGUGUUGCGGGUAUCGACCCCUGCAGUGCCGCAGCUAACGCGUUAAGUAUCCCGCCUGGGGAGUACGCACGCAAGUGUGAAACUCAAAGGAAUUGACGGGGACCCGCACAAGCGGUGGAACAUGUGGUUUAAUUCGAAGCAACGCGAAAAACCUUACCAGGGCUUGACAUCUAACUAAUUCUGAUGAAAGUCGGAAGUGCUCUUCGGAGAGUGUUAAGACAGGUGGUGCACGGUUGUCGUCAGCUCGUGUCGUGAGAUGUUGGGUUAAGUCCCGCAACGAGCGCAACCCUCGUCGUUAGUUGGAUAUAUCGGUAUACUGAUAUAUUCCUCUCUAGCGAGACUGCCGGUGAUAAACCGGAGGAAGGUGGGGACGACGUCAAAUCAUCAUGCCCCUUAUGCUCUGGGCUACACACGUGUUACAAUGGCUGGUACAACGAGCCGCCAACUCGCGAGAGUGAGCAAAUCUCUUAAAACCAGUCUCAGUUCGGAUUGGACUCUGCAACUCGAGUCCAUGAAGUCGGAAUCGCUAGUAAA